AUUGAACGCUGGCGGAAUGCUUUACACAUGCAAGUCGAACGGCAGCACGGACUUCGGUCUGGUGGCGAGUGGCGAACGGGUGAGUAAUGUAUCGGAACGUGCCCAGUCGUGGGGGAUAACGUAGUGAAAAUUACGCUAAUACCGCAUACGAUCUAUGGAUGAAAGCGGGGGAUCGCAAGACCUCGCGCGAUUGGAGCGGCCGAUAUCAGAUUAGGUAGUUGGUGGGGUAAAGGCCCACCAAGCCAACGAUCUGUAGCUGGUCUGAGAGGACGAACAGCCACACGGGAACUGGGGCACGGUCCAGACUCCUACGGGAGGCAGCAGUGGGGAAUUUUGGACAAUGGGCGAAAGCCUGAUCCAGCCAUUCCGCGUGCAGGAUGAAGGCCCUCGGGUUGUAAACUGCUUUUGUACAGAACGAAAAGGUUUCUACUAAUACUAGGAGCUCAUGACGGUACUGUAAGGAUAAGCACCGGCUAACUACGUGCCAGCCGCCGCCGUAA
rnacentral:rRNA from 1 species